GGGUUUGAUGUUUUUGCUUCUUUUAUUUCUCUAGUUUUUGGUGCUAUCUUGUAGUUGUGUUGCUCAUUGUUUGGCACUUUGUUGGUGGCCAUUUUGGAGAACACUUUUGUAACUCUUGUUGAUUAUAGUAGAGCUUUGGCCUUGUGGUUUUUACUCUUCACACCGAAGAGGUUUUCCACAUUAAACUUUGGUGUCUCGUGUGUUGAUUUAUUUUUCUUGCUUGG
rnacentral:lncRNA from 1 species